rnacentral:rRNA from 1 species
CAGCAGCCGCGGUAAUACGUAGGGUGCAAGCGUUAAUCGGAAUUACUGGGCGUAAAGCGUGCGCAGGCGGUUAUGUAAGACAGUUGUGAAAUCCCCGGGCUCAACCUGGGAACUGCAUCUGUGACUGCAUAGCUAGAGUACGGUAGAGGGGGAUGGAAUUCCGCGUGUAGCAGUGAAAUGCGUAGAUAUGCGGAGGAACACCGAUGGCGAAGGCAAUCCCCUGGACCUGUACUGACGCUCAUGCACGAAAGCGUGGGGAGCAAACAGGAUUAGAGACCCCUGUAGUCCCUGUCUCUUAUAC